UACGUAGGGUGCGAGCGUUAAUCGGAAUUACUGGGCGUAAAGCGUGCGCAGGCGGUUCGCUGUGUCCGAUGUGAAAGCCCCGGGCUUAACCUGGGAAUGGCAUUAGAAACUGGCGGGCUUGAGUGCGGCAGAGGGGGGUGGAAUUCCGCGUGUAGCAGUGAAAUGCGUAGAGAUGCGGAGGAACACCGAUGGCGAAGGCAGCCCCCUGGGUCGACACUGACGCUCAGGCACGAAAGCGUGGGGAGCAAACAGG
rnacentral:rRNA from 1 species